GAAAGUGUUCAAAUUAUUCCAAACAAUCCUGCAGAAGUGGCCAUAAAGCUAUUAUUUUAAACAUAGAAAACUACAACCUCACACUUAAGCAGGUAAGGGGAGGAAGAGAUACUGGUAACUGUGUUUACCAUAGGUAGAUUGAAAUACAUGGUUAAAGUAGAAGCCCAGACACGCUGAGGCAUAAAAUGCAUCUCAUCAAAGAUACUGCCCAAAAGUGUUAUUGGGAGGGCUGUGUAGCGGAUCAUUUUGCUCCAUACAAUGUGUACAAGUCCUUUAAUGUCAAAAGGGAGGUAUUGACAAGCUGAAAGAGCAGCCAGGGGCCAGGGAGAGCAAGAGAUGUGCUCCAAGCACUUGGACUGGACAGAACUUCAAGUGUCUGCACACUUCUACAACCUCUCCCCUGCCCCAGAGCAGGGUUUGUAGGUCCUGCAGCACCUGGGAGUCAGUGUCAUGUGUGCUUUAGUUCAGUGCAAGCUUCAAAUCACCCCAUGUAUCAUGACAAGAACUAAGAAAGCAGCUUAUCAAUUGAGAAAAUCUUGAGGCAUUUUACUCAAAAGGUCUUACCAAAUCUUUAAUGUAGUCUUUAGAUGAGCAUAUGGAUGAUAUGUAUCUGUCUCUGUAGUUUUCUGCUUUCAGCAAGAAAGUGUUGGCAUCUGUGGCAGCCACAUUGGUGAAAAGGAGCUUGGUGCCUCUGAUGUACAGAACGAAAGCUGAGAUAUCAGAUAGGUUGUCCAGAAAGGAUCAAUCCUUUCAUCUAAGCAUUCCAAAGUGGUUUACACAGUCUGAGAAUUCCAGGUGUUUGGGCAAUACUACAGCAUGGGGUUACCAGCUCUCCCUCCUCCCCUUCCACCAUCUUUUUUUGGUUAUUUUUGACUCUUCCAUUGCACUGUAUGCACAUAUUUUAUGUGUUUAUAAAGCCUCAGCAGUAUGUUUCUUGAACUUUGUGACCCAGUUAAAAUAGCCAAUUUGUGCUAAAUGUCUUUGAGUGUUUCUUAAGAAGUGUCCUAUAAUGAAAUAGAAUUUAGCUAGAAAACCCAAAUAACAAAACAAAUCUAUUUAUUUCAGUGUUUCACUUCUCAGUGCUGUCUUUUCUCUUACCUGUUGUAAAUCACUCAAAUAUUUGCUUGACUCUGCCAAGAUUUGUCUUGCACAAAUCUACUGUUUACAUGAUUGUUACUUUAAAAGUAUUUAUGCAAUAUUUUUGCACCUCUGUUAGCUGACUCUAAUUGUGCCCUUUAACAAGAAGUGAUAAAGAAAUAUCUGCAAUUACAUGAAUGACUUUUGCAUAACUCUUUUUCUUUAAAGUUUAGAAUUUACUGCCUUUCCUAAAUUUUCUGGUUCUUAGUGCGAGAAUAAACUAAUAAACCAAGACA
rnacentral:lncRNA from 1 species